ACUGGAGUAAUAAACAGCGUCUGUUACAUCACAAAACCAGGGGGCGUUCCCCAGGAAAUACCGAGCCCUUCUGGCAACAAAUGGCCACAAACCGAUCAAAGGUGAAAGUGACGGUGAACCAGACAGAGCAGUCAGUGGCUGCAUAAAGCAGGACGGCGUGGAUAUUACACACGGGGACGGAGUCCCUCAGGAAAUAAAACUGUUCCCGAUAAACAAUGGGAAUGUGUCUCAGGAUCAGGUCGAGGAUAAUGACCAGGAGAUCCGCCGCUGCCAUGGCCCCCAGGUAUCUGUGUCAGCUAUCUGGAUACAGAGUUGGCUGGCCAGCAGAAGACAGCGAGUGGUAGUGGAAGGAAAAUAUUCUGCCCAGAAGUCAGUGACGUUUCGUCACCAGGUGACAUCAUCAGUGAGAGUCUCCGCUGAAGCGCUGGUGUCUACCACUACCCUCAAGCCGAUCCAUGGGUCAGUGACGAGUGUGGGUAAACAUGCCAGGGUCGGAAUCACGUGCACCUAAACCUGAUGACAACACAUUAAUGCGACCACACUUGACUGGUUACACUCCAAACAACAGGACUAACAUCUGAUGCAGAGGGAGAAAUGAUCCCAAGACUAACAAAUCAGAUCUAAGCUCUGUCGGCCUGUCAAAUCCAUGCAUAAAAGCCGAUGGAUCAUUAAACAACUUACUGGAAGAGAGGACUCCAAAAAUAUUCGCAUCCAAAAUAAUGGAACAGCCCUGUACGUCAGUGUAAAAGAUGCAAUACCUGCACCAUCUUUAGCCAGAAGUGUUGAGUCGAUUAUUCAACUCACCCUCGCCAUGAUGCCCACAGAAUCACAGAGGGCAGUCACAAAACAAUUCAAUUCACUGCACGUUACAUGAAAAAAAUAGCUGGACACAGGAGAUACGACAAAGGCAGUGGGUCCUGACACCAUUUCCUGUAAUAGGACUGAAGACUUGUGCUACUCAACGAGCCGUGUCCCUGGGGAAUCUGUUUCCUUCCAGCUCCAACUCUGACAUCACUCUGAGUAAUGUGGAAAAUUACUCAACUCUGUCCAAUCCGCUGAGAGGAGGAUUACUGCAAUCUGACUAUUUACUAGUCCUCCAGUCCCAUCACGACAGUUAAAUGGGUGGGAGUUCUAUUUGACAGAGCUGUCAAGCAGCACAGAAAUAAUCUGCUCAGUGUGGUUUCCGAUAGGUUUCCAUGUGGAGAUGAUGUUGUUGUGGAAAUGUCACUGGAUUACUAAUCCAGACCAGGCUAAUGCUGUGUUAGCUGGUGCAAAUUAAAAACAAUAAAGAAAAUAUC